GAUGAACGCUGGCGGCGUGCCUAAUACAUGCAAGUCGAGCGAACGGACGAGAAGCUUGCUUCUCUGAUGUUAGCGGCGGACGGGUGAGUAACACGUGGAUAACCUACCUAUAAGACUGGGAUAACUUCGGGAAACCGGAGCUAAUACCGGAUAAUAUUUUGAACCGCAUGGUUCAAAAGUGAAAGACGGUCUUGCUGUCACUUAUAGAUGGAUCCGCGCUGCAUUAGCUAGUUGGUAAGGUAACGGCUUACCAAGGCAACGAUGCAUAGCCGACCUGAGAGGGUGAUCGGCAACAUGGGAACGGCGACACGGUCCAGCCUCCUCCGGGAGGCAGCAGUAGGGAAUCUUCCGCAAUGGGCGAAAGCCUGACGGAGCAACGCCGCGUGAGUGAUGAAGGUCUUCGGAUCGUAAAACUCUGUUAUUAGGGAAGAACAUAUGUGUAAGUAACUGUGCACAUCUUGACGGUACCUAAUCAGAAAGCCACGGCUAACUACGUG
rnacentral:rRNA from 1 species